AAUGAACGCUGGCGGCAGGCCUAACACAUGCAAGUCGAGCGGAGCGGCGGACGGGUGAGUCAUGCCUAGGACUCUGCCUGGUAGUGGGGGAUAACGUCCGCAAACGGGCGCUAAUACCGCAUACUAUCAGAUGAGCCUAGGUCGGAUUAGCUAGUUGGGGGGGUAAAGGCCUACCAAGGCUGCGAUCCGUAACUGUUCUGGGAGGAUGAUCAUUCAACAUGGAACUGAGACACGGUCCAGACUCCUACGGGAGGAAGCAGUGGGGAAUAUUGGACAAUGGGCGAAAGCCUGAUGCAGCCAUGCCGCGUGUGUGAAGAAGGUCUUCGGAUUGUAAAGCACUUUAAGUUGGGAGGCGUUACCAACAGAAUAAGCACCGGCUAACUGCGUGCCAGCCGCCGCGGUAAUAC
rnacentral:rRNA from 1 species